UGGGGAAUCUUCGGCAAUGGGCGCAAGCCUGACCGAGCCAUGCCGCGUGAGUGAAGAAGGCCCUAGGGUUGUAAAGCUCUUUCGCCAGGGAAGAUAAUGACGGUACCUGGAGAAGAAGCCCCGGCUAACUCCGUGCCAGCAGCCGCGGUAAUACGGAGGGGGCUAGCGUUGUUCGGAAUUACUGGGCGUAAAGCGCGCGUAGGCGGAUAGUCAAGUCAGAGGUGAAAGCCCAGGGCUCAACCCUGGAACGGCCUUUGAUACUGGCUGUCUUGAGUACGGGAGAGGAGAGUGGAAUUCCCAGUGUAGAGGUGAAAUUCGUAGGUAUUGGGAAGAACACCGGUGGCGAAGGCGGCUCUCUGGCCCGGUACUGACGCUGAGGUGCGACAGCGUGGGGAGCAAACAGGAUUAGAUACCCCCGUAGUCC
rnacentral:rRNA from 1 species